AUGGACAGAGGCAAGGUGAUUAUGCUUGUGAUGGUCAUCCUUCCAUGCCUCAUAAUAUUUUCUCAGGCUCAAGCAACUGAUCAGCUGGAUAGCGGUAAGAUCGAGUUAUGCAUAUGCCCAGAGAAAGAUCCACCUGCCCAAAUGGUUUGUGCUUCUGUUGUGCACUGGAGCAAGAACGUUGCUCUAGGACUAGGAAAGAAUGCAUUUGUGAACCUGGUUGCCACCAACCUCCUUCAGAUGCAACCUACCCCCGUCCCCUCUCUUUGCCUUAAAACACUGUUUCAGAUUGUUGUGAUGAAAAGUAUUGUCAUGAAUAUCUUGGAGUAA
rnacentral:rRNA from 1 species